GUGCUUGCUUUGGCAGCACAUAUACCAAAAAUUGGAACGAUACAGAGAAGAUCAGCAUGGCCCCUGUGUAAGGAUGGCACGCAGAUUGCUAUCAAAUGUGGCAUUUUACA